rnacentral:tRNA from 1 species
GGAAGAGUGCCCGAAAGAUAAGGAUCCCCUUGAUAGGGGGAACUAUAAGGGUUCAAAUCCCCUCUCUUCCU